rnacentral:misc_RNA from 1 species
AAGUCGUAACAAGGUCUCCGUAGGUGAACCUGCGGAGGGAUCAUUACUGAGUUUUUAACUCUCCAAACCAUGUGAACUUACCACUGUUGCCUCGGUGGCUGGUGCUGGAAACAGUGCUGCCACCGGUGGACUACUAAACUCUUGUUAAUUUUUGUCAAAUCUGAAUCAAACUAAGAAAUAAGUUAAAACUUUCAACAACGGAUCUCUUGGUUCUG